AUUAUAUUUCUAAGCUAGUGGAAGGAAAUAGCAAAUACUCACUACCACAAAUAAGAACAUUUCCAAAUCUGAUGUUCUGAGGAUUUUUAGAGCUUAUAGUAGCAAAAAGAAAAGGGAAAUUCUCUCUGAGAUGUCCUUUUUUGUAGGCCUAAUGACAAAAGGUUGAAGAUAAAGUUCUAGUACUCAUUUAAGUGUAAUAUUGAAAAUUGAUAUUACCAAAUCUGGAACAACCAAUUUAAAAUAAGGAAAGAAAGACACUGUGUUUUCUAGGUUAAAAAUGCCCAGCUGGCAGGGGCCAAAGGAGUCAUUCUCUACUCAGACCCUGCUGACUACUUUGCUCCUGGGGUGAAGUCCUAUCCAGACGGUUGGAAUCUUCCUGGAGGUGGUGUCCAGCGUGGAAAUAUCCUAAAUCUGAAUGGUGCAGGAGACCCUCUCACACCAGGUUACCCAGCAAAUGAAUACGCUUAUAGGCAUGGAAUUGCAGAGGCUGUUGGUCUUCCAAGUAUUCCUGUUCAUCCAGUUGGAUACUAUGAUGCACAGAAGCUCCUAGAAAAAAUGGGUGGCUCAGCACCACCAGAUAGCAGCUGGAGAGGAAGUCUCAAAGUGUCCUACAAUGUUGGACCUGGCUUUACUGGAAACUUUUCUACACAAAAAGUCAAGAUGCACAUCCACUCUACCAAUGAAGUGACGAGAAUUUACAAUGUGAUAGGUACUCUCAGAGGAGCAGUGGAACCAGACAGAUAUGUCAUUCUGGGAGGUCACCGGGACUCAUGGGUGUUUGGUGGUAUUGACCCUCAGAGUGGAGCAGCUGUUGUUCAUGAAACUGUGAGGAGCUUUGGAACACUGAAAAAGGAAGGGUGGAGACCUAGAAGAACAAUUUUGUUUGCAAGCUGGGAUGCAGAAGAAUUUGGUCUUCUUGGUUCUACUGAGUGGGCAGAGGAUAAUUCAAGACUCCUUCAAGAGCGUGGCGUGGCUUAUAUUAAUGCUGACUCAUCUAUAGAAGGAAACUACACUCUGAGAGUUGAUUGUACACCACUGAUGUACAGCUUGGUAUACAACCUAACAAAAGAGCUGAAAAGCCCUGAUGAAGGCUUUGAAGGCAAAUCUCUUUAUGAAAGUUGGACUAAAAAAAGUCCUUCCCCAGAGUUCAGUGGCAUGCCCAGGAUAAGCAAAUUGGGAUCUGGAAAUGAUUUUGAGGUGUUCUUCCAACGACUUGGAAUUGCUUCAGGCAGAGCACGGUAUACUAAAAAUUGGGAAACAAACAAAUUCAGCGGCUAUCCACUGUAUCACAGUGUCUAUGAAACAUAUGAGUUGGUGGAAAAGUUUUAUGAUCCAAUGUUUAAAUAUCACCUCACUGUGGCCCAGGUUCGAGGAGGGAUGGUGUUUGAGCUAGCCAAUUCCAUAGUGCUCCCUUUUGAUUGUCGAGAUUAUGCUGUAGUUUUAAGAAAGUAUGCUGACAAAAUCUACAAUAUUUCUAUGAAACAUCCACAGGAAAUGAAGACAUACAGUUUAUCAUUUGAUUCACUUUUUUCUGCAGUAAAAAAUUUUACAGAAAUUGCUUCCAAGUUCAGCGAGAGACUCCAGGACUUUGACAAAAGCAACCCAAUAUUGUUAAGAAUGAUGAAUGAUCAACUCAUGUUUCUGGAAAGAGCAUUUAUUGAUCCAUUAGGGUUACCAGACAGACCUUUUUAUAGGCAUGUCAUCUAUGCUCCAAGCAGCCACAACAAGUAUGCAGGGGAGUCAUUCCCAGGAAUUUAUGAUGCUCUGUUUGAUAUUGAAAGCAAAGUGGACCCUUCCAAGGCCUGGGGAGAUGUGAAGAGACAGAUUUCUGUUGCAGCCUUCACAGUGCAGGCAGCUGCAGAGACUUUGAGUGAAGUAGCCUAAGAGGAUUCUUUAGAGACUCUGUAUUGAAUUUGUGUGGUAUGUCACUCAAAGAAUAAUAAUGGGUAUAUUGAUAAAUUUUAAAAUUGGUAUAUUUGAAAUAAAGUUGAAUAUUAUAUAUA